rnacentral:lncRNA from 1 species
AUGGCAGAGACCUUAUUUCCCUCUGUACCAAUAAGCAGCGCAGCCACUUCAUGCAUUACUAUUCUUUACAUUGCCCUCUCCCAUCACAGCCACUCGUUAAACCCGCUCACGGUUCCAUUUCGUCUAUUUCUCUAUUUACACCUGUGUCCCGCAGAUCACAAACCGUCCCUGGUUGCAGCGGCCCCGCGUGUCCCCGCGCUGUCCCCGCAGACCCAUCCCUGCUUUCCGUCCCGUUCCGCUCGCGGCCCGCGGGCAGAGCCCAGCUACAGAGCGGAGCUCCGGGCUCAGCACGUCCCCCCCAGCCCCGAACGGACAACAAACAGCCGCCAAGCUCCGGCCGGGCUGACACCGCGCCCCGCGCUGAUCCCGCCACGUGCCCGACAGCCGCGCAUUGACCCGAUGCGGUUCGGAUCCCGCCGUGCCCGCGCCGUCCCGCGGCUCCGUGUCCCGGCAGCGCUGGGCCCGGCGGCCUCGGGCUGCGCGCGGUUCCCCGGCCCUGGCGCUCCGCCGCCGCCCUCCGCUCGCGGUGCUCCCGGCCCCCGCCCCGCACUAGGCCGCGGGCGAGGCCUGGUACCUCGCGGUGCCGCACAGCGCUCACCUCUCUCACGUCCCCGCGGCGGCCCGGCUGGGCCGAGUGCCCGCUGCAUGGUGCCGGCGGCGGCCCGGUCUCCCCGGUCUCCCCGCGCGGCUCCGGCCCCAGCUCCCGGCUUCCGCCGCCGCCCCCGCCCGCCCGGAAGCGCGGCCCAGGGGGUUCCCGGGCCCCGCGGUUCCCCGCUCGGUUCCCGCUCGGUUCCCGCUCCGCUCCCCGUCCGCCCCGCUCACCUCAGGCCUGGGGCGGUCCCGGUUCUCCGGGCUGGAGGCGGCGGUGCAGCUGGCUGCGGAGCGGCCCGGCCUCAUCCCCGUCGGGCCCGCGCGCCCCGGUGCCUCAUGAGUCACGGUGCCGGAGCCGCCGAGCACACGUGCGCGGCCCCGCGCGGCCGCCUCCGGCUUCGGGAGGGGAAGGAGGAGGCGGGGGGUUGGGGGGGGCGGUGGAAGCGGCUCCGCGCAGCGCCCGCCUCGAGCCGGGCCGGGCCCCGCGCUGCCCGCCGGGCUCCCAACCGGGGCCGGCUCCGCGCCGCCCGCCCGCUCCCCGCGCUGUGUCCCGCCAUCACGGCACGGAGCGGCCGGCGGCUCCUUGCGGGGCGGCACCGCGGGAGGAUCGUUGUCCCGCUCCGCGCCCACCGUCCCGGGAGCGGUGCUCGGCCCCGCGGGGAGCAGAACGGAGCUGCUACGGACACGGCUCCGGCCGCACAGAACCCACACGGUGCUCGGAGCUGA